rnacentral:misc_RNA from 1 species
GCGAUCGCCCCGCAUGAGGACGUAGUCGUGGCAGAGGGCGAGCAUGAAACCGGCGGCGGCGGCGUGGCCGGUGACGGCGGCGAUGGUGGGGAGAGGGAGGGAAAUCAGGUCGGCGACGACGGGGAUGAAAAGGGAAACCAUAGAGGAGAGGAGGUUGCGGGCGGCGGAGGGGGUGGGGGCGGACUGGGCGUAGGCGAGGUCAAAGCCGUUGGAGAAGAAGCGGCCCUCAGCGGUGGUGAGAAGGACGGAGCCGCGGGUGGAUUCGGUUCGGACGCGGGCGAGGGCGGCGCGGAGAGCGGCGAUGAGGUCGGGGUGGAGGCGGUGGUCG